AGUCGUAACAAGGUAUCCGUAGGUGAACCUGCGGAUGGAUCAUUACCAAAGGAUCCCAUCCAACAACUUGUGAACUGGUCUAACCGGUCGGUGCCCAACAUUAGGGCCUAGCCGCUUAGGGCUCUAAUAGGCCUUGGGUGCGCCAUGGCCUUAGUGUAGAGUGCCGGCCGAAUCUUCAACGUUUAUCAAUUGAACUGAAGUCUAAUGAAAGAAACUUAGAGAAAACUUUUAGCAACGGAUCUCUAGGCUCUU
rnacentral:misc_RNA from 1 species